rnacentral:rRNA from 1 species
UACGAACUGUGCAAACGUUAUUCGGAAUCACUGGGCUUAAAGGGUGCGUAGGCGGCUAUUUAAGUAGGGUGUGAAAGCCCCCGGCUCAACCGGGGAAUUGCGUCCUAAACUGGAUAGCUCGAGUGAGAUAGAGGUGUGCGGAACUUCCGGUGGAGCGGUGAAAUGUGUUGAUAUCGGAAGGAACGCCGGUGGCGAAAGCGGCACACUGGGUGCUCAACUGACGCUGAGGCACGAAAGCCAGGGGAGCGAACGGG